GACGAACGCUGGCGGCGUGCUUAACACAUGCAAGUCGAACGGAAAGGCCCUGCUUUUGUGGGGUGCUCGAGUGGCGAACGGGUGAGUAACACGUGAGUAACCUGCCCUCGACUUUGGGAUAACUUCAGGAAACUGGGGCUAAUACCGGAUAGGAGCUCCUGCUGCAUGGUGGGGGUUGGAAAGUUUCGGCGGUUGGGGAUGGACUCGCGGCUUAUCAGCUUGUUGGUGGGGUAGUGGCUUACCAAGGCUUUGACGGGUAGCCGGCCUGAGAGGGUGACCGGCCACAUUGGGACUGAGAUACGGCCCAGACUCCUACGGGAGGCAGCAGUGGGGAAUAUUGCACAAUGGGCGGAAGCCUGAUGCAGCAACGCCGCGUGCGGGAUGACGGCCUUCGGGUUGUAAACCGCUUUCGCCUGUGACGAAGCGUGAGUGACGGUAAUGGGUAAAGAAGCACCGGCUAACUACGUG
rnacentral:rRNA from 1 species